rnacentral:misc_RNA from 1 species
CGCGCUGACACGAAGCGAGAGGGCAGUCCACGCACGCACGUCUGCAGCGGUACUCGACGGCUCGGUCGCGAGGCUCCAUCGCCGCGGGCCGAACGCAGCCUGACCGGAGCGCGAACACUAGGCAGAUUACGUCACCGUAGGGAAGCCGCCACUUGCGACUGCAGUGACGGGGUUGGAGUAAGGAAGCAUGAGCCGCGCAGCAGCCGGCACCGCUGCCGGCGUAGCGGUGAUGGGCCUCUUUUCCCCCGCUCUCUCGACAGGAAACCGCCCUGCGUCUCUCGAUUACAUUUUUCAGCGCAUUCGCCUCAACCUGGUCCCGUUAAACGCCCAGGACAUCUACCAAAUAUGCACUGUCGUCUACAACAAUGACACACUGGGUGUGCUGAGUGACGCCGAGCUGAUGCGCGGCAUUGCUGACGCGUUUCAACGAUCAGACCAGCGUGUGCUCAAUCCGUUUCAGGCCAGUCUUGUCAUGGACACGCUGCGACGUGCUGGCAUCAACGCGUCGCCCAAGGAGGUGAUGGUGCCGGAGGAGGAGGCGAUUUCCCCAGAGACGCUGCUUAACGUGCUGCGUGCCAUGAACGUGCACGGCGGCACGCGCGACGAGCGCAAGAUAGAUGAGGUGCUGAAGAAUAUACCUGCGGUACUGGACGAGUUCAGUCCUACCCAGCUGUCUCUUGCGCUGUGUGAGCUAGCGAAGCUGCGCUGCGCCAACGCCGAGGCCAUGAAUCGAAUAGCCAAGCGGCUCUUUGAGAAAACGGAGGACUUGAGCGCCAUGGAGGUGUCACUGACAACCAUCGCGCUUGCCAAGACCCGGGGGAUGCCGUACGGGACAGUGCGACGUGCAUUUGCGCUGUCUGAGCAGCGGCUCGACGAGUUUCAGCCGGAUGACUACGUGAACGUGCUGUUGGGGCUGCAAGCGGCAGGGAAGCAGUAUAGCCGCACCUUUGUGAAGCUGGUCGAGGCCGCGCUCGGCAAGGUGGAGAACUUGGACGCAGUAACAUUGACGCAGUUUCUGGUCACCUUUACGGCACUUGACUAUGGAAAACGCGAACACCUUGAAAUUUUUGCGGACGCUCUCGUGGACGUCGCGAGUGAUCUCGAUCAGCAAAAUCUGGUUCAGUCGCUUGUCGCACUUCAGCGACUCGAUCUUCUUCACGAGGAGCUCUUCAGCGCGCUCGCCGCGUGCUUGAUGCGUUAUGCCAAAAAUCUGGAGCCGCGCUUUAUCGCACCUGUGAUGGACAUUUGCAGCGGAGUAUCCCAUAACACGGAUGGCCUGAUGCACGUGUUGCUCGAUCGUGCAGUCGAGUGCACACGUAUGCUGCAUCCGAACGACCUUGCCGAUAUUCUGGAUAUUGUGGCGCUGUACCCAGGUGCUCGCGGCCACGCAUUGGUGGAAGUCUUUGGUCGGCAGGCGCGGCUCCGGUUGGAACUUUUCAACCCUGUUGCCUUGGCCCGCGCAACACGGGGGCUUGCUCAUCUCGGCUACAGAGAUGUGGACUACUACACGCAGGCUGCCGACACCGGGUUUCGCUUCGGGUUUAAGGAUUGGAGUUCGCUGGAGCCGAUCCUCAUGGGCAUGUGCUUCAAUGAAGAGGCCCCGGUGCGCACAAUCAAGGUGCUUGCCUCCUUCGUCUCGCAGAUGGCAAAGUCCAUGUCGCUGCAGGAGGUGGAGCGCGCGAAUCGAUAUCUGGUGCGGCUCAAGUGCGAGGAGGACCAUGUCUACCGCUCCCUGGCGAACCGCGUGAUGCACUUUGUGAAGGAGAUUACACCCGACAUGCCACAAGAGCUUCAGGUAUUGGUGCAGCGAGGGGCAGUGAACCGGCUCACUGAAGGUUGAUGUUGUGUUCCUGUGGAUGCCAUGCUGCGAAAGCGUCGCGCAUGCUCAGAGAUGAGUUUGCAUAAAAGCAGGUGGCCGCCGUUUGUGUUGCGCGCACCACAUGGGCCUACAUGUAGCGCGUACAACGCAUCACGUUGGUCCGUUGCUGCUGCCCUUGGAUUGUUUGCUGUUUUCGGACUGUUGGCGUCAUUCUGCAGAAGGUAGCGGGCGUGUUCUUGCCGUGAAGGAAAAUGUGAACCACUCAGAGACGGGGGCAGGAGCAGCCAAGCUCUGCAAAGCACGUACACUCGCACCGGCCAGCUCCGUCCGUGUUUUGCGGGGUGCGUUCUCUCGCCUUUAAGCACACACGCGGCUCUUUGCUCCCAUUCAGCAUCCAUAGAAUCGGAUGUCUCUGUGCGCUGGUUCACACUUCUUUCCACAAAUCCGAUCCCCGUCGGCUCUGCCUCGGCGAUGCCAGU